rnacentral:rRNA from 1 species
AUUGAACGCUGGCGGCGUGCUUAACACAUGCAAGUCGAGCGGUAACAGGUGUAGCAAUACAUGCUGACGAGCGGCGAACGGGUGAGUAAUGCAUCGGAACGUGCCCUGAAGUGGGGGAUAACGUAGCGAAAGUUACGCUAAUACCGCAUAUUCUGUGAGCAGGAAAGCAGGGGAUCGCAAGACCUUGCGCUUUAGGAGCGGCCGAUGUCGGAUUAGCUAGUUGGUGGGGUAAAGCUCACCAAGGCGACGAUCCGUAGCGGGUCUGAGAGGAUGAUCCGCCACACUGGGACUGAGACACGGCCCAGACUCCUACGGGAGGCAGCAGUGGGGAAUUUUGGACAAUGGGCGCAAGCCUGAUCCAGCCAUGCCGCGUGAGUGAAGAAGGCC